UUUUUUUGCUGCAUGCGUGCUUUCUUCCUGCUUGGACCCUGAGGCCCAGGAAGUGAGGAUGCGCGCGGAGGUGGGAUUUGCGUCCGUGUCCUUGGCCCGGGCGCACUGGGCAGCGGGACUCAGGGGCUGGCGACCCCCAGCCACCGAGGGCAGCCGCCUGCUGCCGGGCAAAAAAAAACCCCGCCGACCCUCGGGGUUCUCUGGAUCAGUACCACGUGGGCCAGAGUCUUCUGCACGGUCUGGCUCUUAGCAGGUGUCCUGGGGCGUCAUCCACGGCUCACGUGACACCGCUCAUGCCCACCGUAUCCACCGAUUUGGAAAUUUGACCUCAAGCCGUAUUUAUUUUUAUUUCAGAGACUUGAGCACCCCCAUCCCUGGGUCGCUGCCCACAUGCCCGCAGUGUCCAGGGCUUGGCCGCGGAACUCCAUCCAGGUCUCCUACGUGAACGGCGGGGAUCCAGCCACUUCAGCUUCCACGGGCUGCUUCCCAGGGUUCCCGAGGGCAGGAAGCUGGGCUCGGGGACCCAGGGCUGGAACCUGCGCACUGCCACGUGAGAUGCAGGUGUCUUGACCACUAGGCCACACCUGCACCCCGAGGGUUUCUUUGAGAAGCAGUUGAAGCACACAUACCGACUUGUAUUUCAAAAGAGUCGAGGUUCAGGAGCAUAACGAAUUGAGAAACUAGGGAACAGGUGGUAACAUCAGAGUUUGCCACCUGUCGUCACCAGGGUGACUGCAGUACAGUGAGAUGAGGCACAGACCCACUGCUCUUCCUUGCUGGUGUGCAGAGUCGUUGCCCGUCCCAGCAUGCCCCGGGGGCUGGGAAGCAGAUUCCCACUGUGGCACUGGAGGUCACGGGCCACAUCAAGUCCAGGGCCCCUUCACCUGACAGCCACCUUGAAAAUGGCCUGACACCGGGAGACGGAGGGCUCUGGAUGUGGGAGCAGGCCUGGGAGGCUGGCCGAGUCUGGGGAGACUGGGAAGGGGUUUACUUGGUGCCUUGAUGCCUUCCUCCCACUUGCAAAGCGAUGAACCUUCACUCUGCUCCAGAGUCUUCUCACUUGGCAUCUUGCUGGAACUCUGAUUACUCCUUGGGGUUAUGGUUGCGGUGUGGAGCCCUGGGUAUCCUGCAUGCAGACAACAGAUCAGAGUGCCUGGCCUGUUAUGCUGGGAAGGACAUUAGGUGUGGGGUCACUGUUCACGGAAGCCACUGGUCAAGGCCUCUCUUCUCCCCGGAAGUUUUUGCUCAGAGAAGGGCUCACAGCACCGAAGUCGGAAUCAAUGCUUGGGAGCACAGUUUCAUUUUUCCUUGGUGACUUGGCAGGACUGGCAGCCUGGGCUCACCCUUACAGUGUAGCUGGGAAACUAAGAUACUCGGAGUAGCUGCGGAGGACAGGCCCAGUGCAGACACUGGCUACUGCCGGCCUGCCCCCACCCAGUGAAUUCAGUCAGCCUGCACAUCACGAAGCGCGGGUUAGAAAGGCAGAGAGAGAUCUUCCAUCCCUGGUUCACUCCCCAAAUACCUACAACAUCUGGGAUAGGCAAGGCUGAAGCCAGGUGCCUGGAGCUUCGAUCCAGUCUCCUGUGUGGAUGGUGGAGACCCAAGAGGCUGAGCCCAUUACCUGCUGCCUCCCAGGAGCACUUAGCAGGAAGCGGGGCACUAAGCCAAGCUCUCCAGCAUGGGAUGGGGACAGCUUCUUUGCUGCUACGCCAACACCCCGUCCUGCCAGCACUGUUCUGGGUCCCAGUGACGAAGUGACACCUUCUUCCUAGCCUUGCCCUGUGCCUGGGUGUGUCACCUCACCAAGCUUGUCCACAGCGUACGGUGACCUCAGCAAAGUUUGCUCAGUGCUAACUGCUCAGGAGUUGUUUGCAAAGGAGGACAAGCGCAGAUGGCCACCAGGCCAGCGACCGCGGCAGCCUCGUGACUGGCCUCCCUUCGUCCUUCCUGGCGCCACUGCCUUGCCAUGGCCUCCAGGAGCGGGGAAGGCCGUUCUCCAGCCUCCGACUCGCGCUGGGCCACGUGGCUUGCUUUGCUUAACAGCAGUGGGCAGAAGAAAGUGUGUCAGUUUGGAGGCCUUACAAAGCCUCUGGUGUUUACUUCGUGUGCCUUUGUGAGGUUGGCUCACCUGUCCAAGGAGGAGGCAGAUAGAGCUGAGCCAGGCCUGCAGUGAACAGAGCCAGCUGUGAGACUGAACCUGACAGCUGGCUCUGUGUGCAUAACAGGGCGUACCAGCCCCGAGCACCGUGGCGGCCUCCCACACAGCACUGUUGUGGCAGCAGCUAACCAAUAAAUUGCCAAACCUCACCUUUCCACAGAAGUAAACAAAUGAGGUGUGGGAGCUGAGGAAGACCGCAGAGGGCCAUCGAACAACGGCGUUUCUCAAACCCAACAAAGGACCCACCUCAUCCAACAACACUCUCGUAGACUCCCCAUGUGGCCUCUAAGUUAUGCUCAUUAGGUGUGCGUGUAACACCUGGUAGCUAUUUCCAACAUUUAUAGUUCAUGGGCCCACAACACUCACAAUAUUUUUUUUUUUGACAGGCAGAGUAGACAGUGAGAGAGUGAGAGAGAGACAGAGAGAAAGGUCUUCCUUUGCCGUUGGUUCACACUCCAAUGGCCGCCGCGGCCAGCGCGCUGCAGCCGGCGCACGGCACUGAUCCAAUGGCAGGAGCCAGGUGCUUCUCCUGGUCUCCCAUGGGGUGCAGGGCCCAAGCACUUGGGCCACCCUCCACUGCACUUCCCGGGCCACAGCAGAGAGCUGGCCUGGAAGAGGGGCAACCGGGACAGAAUCCGGCGCCCCGACCGGGACUAGAACCUGGUGUGCCGGCGCCACAAGGCGGAGGAUUAGCCUAGUGAGCCGCGGCGCCGGCCACUCACAAUAUUCUAAUCAACGGAACACAGUUCCACAGAAACCAAGUUCUCCUGGACGUGGCGCGACUGUGUCCUUGUACAAGUUUCUCCUACAACUGACAGAGCCGCAGGUUCACAGCGUUCUGGGGGAAGUUGGGUUGCAGUAAACCCAAUUUUUCUGGUUCUGAGUUAUGCCUGGGGGCUGAGCUCUGGGCACAGCAGCCCUCAUUUUUCCCUGGUCUGUCUCGCAAAACCUCAGUUGGGACGAUGGCACACACAAUGCCACCAGGGGGCUUGUGGGUUUUUCCUCACCAGGUCAAACUGCUCAGUCCAGAUCUAUUCAGGAAACAGCACCCGCGCCUCGGUCGUUGCCAAGUGACGGGGGGCAGUCGAGGCCAGGGACCCACGGUGCACUACUCCUUAGAGGUUAAGGAGUGUGAGCAGGAGGUCUCAGGACACCCACGCCUAACAGCAGGCAAGUUGUCAUCAUUGGGCCUGACAGCAGCGAGUCCCACUCGGCUAAGACAGCUCACAGGUGACGGAACAGACUCGGGCACCCGGCAGAGAUGGCCUCCCUGCCAUCUCUAACUGUGGAGAAGGGUGGGGUCAUUUUUGUUGUCCUGUCAGAAGCAAUAGGGAACAAGGAAUGCAUUAAUCAGAGUUGCCACGUCCUCCCAAAAGCAUUCUGGGAUGCUUGGCAGGCUGUCUUCCUGGCCAGAAGCUAGGCUCCUGAAGGCCCAGUCCCUCACGUCUCGGGCGCCCCGACUGCUCCUGUAAGAGCGAUCAGCUGACUGGCAAUCACCAAAACCCGUUCAGCGCCGUUUACAGCAGUGCUGCCACACUUGCCAUCACCCAGAGCUUGACAAAGUCCAAGGAAGUCAGAAUCCCUGGCGGAGAGCCUGAGGCACCUUCCCAGAGGCCUCAGGUUCAGUCCGGGUUAAAGAACCAUUCACUGGUGGACAGUGACAGUGGGGGCAGCGGCUGGCGUGGACACCUGCGGCUGCAGGAAGCAUGCCAGAGAAGCCUCGAUCCUCCCCGCCGUGACCCAGCGCUGGAAAACGCUGCUCCUCUGCUCACACGCGUCAGCUGAUGAGCACAGCUCACCGUGCCAACAGUGUGCAAACCAACACUCAUGCAUGAACCUGUAGGAAGUACAGCAGCGCCCCCAGGUCUGGGGGGUGCCUGACACGCUGGAUAAUGCCGCUCCGCCCAAGGGCCUUCACAGCCUGUGGAGGAGGUGGGCACUUGUUGCAGCAGGCAACGUGACACUUGAGACCCGGAUGUCUGUCCCACGGGAGUGCCGAAGUUCAAGGUGCAGUCCCACUUCCCAUUCCAGCUUCCUGCUAAUGUGUACCCUAAAAGGCAACAGUGAUGGCUCAAGUGCUUGUGACCCUGCCGUCCGCUUGGGGGUCCAGGUUCCAGGAGUCGGACUGCACCAGCCUUGGCUGUGGCAGGUGUUUGGAAGGGGUGAACCAAGAGAUGGAAAGAUCCCUCCGAGUCGGCCUCUCUCUCUCUGCCUUUAAAAUAAAUUUAAAAAUUAUAAAGUUCAUGGAAAAUGCAUAUUCUUGGAUUUCAAAAAAAUUUUUGCACCAAAAUAAACUUUUAAUUCCAUUUUCCCACAAACUUUUUGAAAUGCUCUCAUAUAGCUUAUUUUUUCCUACAAAGUCAAGAACUUUCUCCUUUUCUCUUAAAGACAGCACUUUAUGGCUUCUCUCUAGCAUCACUCUUGUGUUUUGGGACCUUGAGUAAAAUCAAGGCUACUGGAGCACAAGCACUAAGCUACUGCAACAGCCCAUCUGAUAACCGAGACGGCCACUAAGCAACUAGUAGGCAGGCAGUGUACGCAACGUGGAUAAGCUGGACCAAGGCUGACUCAUGGCCCAGGUGCAGGACUGCUGAGAUUUAACUUCGUUUAUUUGAGAUUUGAAUUUUACGGUUAUUUCUGGAUUUGUCCAUUUACUAUUUUUGGACUGCAGUUGGCCACUGAAACUGGCUGCAGUUUGAUUGUAGCUGAACCAUGCAAAGCAAAACCACAGGUAACAGAGGAUUCCUGAGUAUAGAUAAAAUUUUUUCUAAAUUUUUAUUUGAAAGGCAGAGUUGCAGAGAGAGAGGGAGAGAAAGAGCUAGAUCUUCCAUCUACUGCUUCACUCCCCAAAUGGCCACAAUGGCCAGGGCUGGGCCAGGCCAAAGUCAGGAGCCAGGAACUCCAUCCAGGCCUCUCAUGUGGGUGGCAGAGGACCAAGUCCCUGGGCCAUCUUCCAUUUCUUUCCCAGGCGCUUAGCAGGAAGCUGGAUUGGAAAUGGAACAGCCGGGACUCGAACCAGUGCCCACAGGGGAUGAGGACAACCCAGGCAGCAGCUUAACCUGCUGCACCACAACGCCAGCCCCAGGGAUCCUGAUUCGUAAGUCCCGCAGUGAGGUUGCAUUUUAUAAAGAAUCUGGAAAAGUGAACAUUUUACAGACGACAAGGAAGCCUGUCCAGGAAUCCUGCCCCGUGCCAGAGCCCUUGUGCUUCACUGCAAACAAACCACAACAGGCGACUCGGCAGCACAAUCAGUGGCCUUUACUUUAUGAUCUGUAGAAAACCGACAUUCAGGCUUCAAAAUUUAAUUACAAAACCAGCAGCAGCAGUUUCAAGCAUCAACAAAGCUGACCGGUUCCACUCUGCCGACAAACAAGGUUCUUACUCCAUGUUCACCAAGCAAGACCUGGCCGGAGAGAGCCUCAUCGUCAUCCCACGCCGCUCUGCUCAGGAUCCGUUUGUGACCGUGUCUUCCUCCAUCUCUUCUUCAGCAUCAUCAGCGGGCCCUGAAGAAAACCAUAAACCAGAAGUCACGCUAAGGCACGCUAAGUCACAGCUUCUGCACCUGACAUGUGAGAGCCAGGCACGGACAUGGGCAGACAGACGAGGCAGCCCUGCCUCUCGAGGCGCUCAGGCAGGGUGUCUCCUGGACAGGCACUGGGAGGCACGGCCACCUUCUAAGGAGAGGGCACAAGGGUGUCUUACAGAAGUCCAAACCUUCGUCUCUCAGCGCAGCUGACACACGUUUGUACAUGGACAGAGAAAGGUCACACCUGAGUUUUAUUCUUGCCACCACCACGGGCAAACAAACCGCAGCAAGCACUACAAGCCCGCUUCACUUGUUCAACAGUUACGGCCAGCGUGCGGCCAGUCACUCCUGUCCACUGCUGGGGAGAUCGCGCGGUAACGGGCGCUGCUUCUACGGCUAGACCCAAAGACCCAAACCUCACUUCUAGUUGGAAACUACCAAGAAGCAAGCCCGCAAGGAAGCGCUGCUCGGCCCAGGCCUGAGACCCAGCAGUGGGCAGCAGGAGCGACUUCCCAGUCUCUUCUCCCUCCUGUGCUCCGGUUCCUAUUGCAGCCCCAGCUGCCGCGUUCUGCGGGAAAUCAUUACGUCAGGAACCAGUCACACCACUGUCACAAAGCGCCGCUCUCAAACGGCCCCUCCCAGCUUCUGUCACCACGGAGCCCUGCGAGCCUCGCCCCAUCCCACGGCUGUGGUGCGCUGCGUGGGCGCCCUCUGCCGUCCGUCUCAUCUGGCCGCGUUCUCCCCGAGCGUCAUUCACUACGGCCCCUUUCAAGCUCAGCUGCGCCUCAUUUUUACCAUGGGGCUUUUGGUCGUGCAGUUCCCUGUUCAGAAGUGUCUCUCUACCUUCGCCUAGACCAGCAGUUCUCAAACUUUUUAGUGUUAGGCCCUAGGGGCUUUUGUUUAUGCAUACCAGAUUUAUGGACACUGUUAGAAAUGAAAACUGUGAUCUUUUUCUUUAAAAAAAAAAAAAAAACACACUGAAACAAUCUACUACAUAUUUUCAUUAAAAAUGUUAUUUUCCAAAACAC